rnacentral:rRNA from 1 species
GACGAACGCUGGCGGCGUGCCUAAUACAUGCAAGUAGAACGCACAGUUUAUACCGUAGCUUGCUACACCAUAGACUGUGAGUUGCGAACGGGUGAGUAACGCGUAGGUAACCUGCCUGGUAGCGGGGGAUAACUAUUGGAAACGAUAGCUAAUACCGCAUAAUAUUAAUUAUUGCAUGAUAAUUAAUUGAAAGGUGCAAUUGCACCACUACCAGAUGGACCUGCGUUGUAUUAGCUAGUAGGUGAGGUAACGGCUCACCUAGGCGACGAUACAUAGCCGACCUGAGAGGGUGAUCGGCCACACUGGGACUGAGACACGGCCCAGACUCCUACGGGAGGCAGCAGUAGGUAAUCUUCGGCAAUGGACGAAAGUCUGACCGAGCAACGCCGCGUGAGUGAAGAAGGUUUUCGGAUCGUAAAGCUCUGUUGUAAGAGAAGAACGGGUGUGAGAGUGGAAAGUUCACACUGUGACGGUAUCUUACCAGAAAGGGACGGCUAACUACGUG